GAGGGUGUAGCUCGGUGGUAGAGCAUAUGCUCCGCAUGCACAAGGUUGUGGGUUCUACCCCCAGCACCUCCA
rnacentral:tRNA from 1 species